CAGUCGCCACGGUAAUACGAAGGGUGCAAGCGUUAAUCGGAAUUACUGGGCGUAAAGCGUGCGUAGGCGGUGAGUUAAGUCUGCUGUGAAAUCCCCAGGCUCAACCUGGGAAUGGCAGUGGAUACUGGCUCGCUAGAGUGUGUCAGAGGAUGGUGGAAUUCCCGGUGUAGCGGUGAAAUGCGUAGAGAUCGGGAGGAACAUCAGUGGCGAAGGCGGCCAUCUGGGACAACACUGACGCUGAGGCACGAAAGCGUGGGGAGCAAACAGGAUUAGAUACCCCCGUAGUCCCUGUCUCUUAUAC
rnacentral:rRNA from 1 species